GCGUGGGUGGCUCAGUUGGUUGAGCAUCUGACUUCAGGUCAGGUCAUAAUCUCACUGCUCAUGGGUUCGAGCCCCGUGUUGGGCU
rnacentral:tRNA from 1 species